CCCUUAGAUGUCCUGGGCUGCACGCGCGCUACACUGAUGUGUCCAGUAAGCACCUAACCUCUUCCGAAAGGAACGGGUAACCUUUGCAAAGCACAUCGUGAUGGGGAUAGAUUAUUGCAAUUAUUAAUCUUCAACGAGGAAUGCCUAGUAGGCGCAAGUCAUCAGCUUGCGUCGAUUACGUCCCUGCCCUUUGUACACACCGCCCGUCGCUCCUACCGAUUGGGUGUGCUGGUGAAAUGUUCGGAUCGGCCGUUUGUCGCGGUUUCCGCGUCAUGUGGCUGAGAAGUUCAUUAAACCCUCCCACCUAGAGGAAGGAGAAGUCGUAACA
rnacentral:rRNA from 1 species